rnacentral:snRNA from 1 species
UUUUGAAACCUUUGGCAACACAUGUACUAAAAUUUAGAAUAAUACAGAGACCUUUAGCAUGGCUCCUGUACAGGAAUGCUAUGCAGAUUCAUGAAGCAGUGAGUGUUUUU